GACGAACGCUGGCGGCGUGCUUAACACAUGCAAGUCGAACGGAAAGGCCCUGCUUUUGUGGGGUGCUCGAGUGGCGAACGGGUGAGUAACACGUGAGUAACCUGCCCUUGACUUUGGGAUAACUUCAGGAAACUGGGGCUAAUACCGGAUAGGAGCUCCUGCUGCAUGGUGGGGGUUGGAAAGUUUCGGCGGUUGGGGAUGGACUCGCGGCUUAUCAGCUUGUUGGUGGGGUAGUGGCUUACCAAGGCUUUGACGGGUAGCCGGCCUGAGAGGGUGACCGGCGACAGUGGGACUGAGGUACGGCCCAGACGCCUACGGGAGGCAGCAGUGGGGAAUAGUGCACAAUGGGCGGAAGCCUGAUGCAGCAACGCCGCUGGCGGGAUGACGGCCUUCGGGUUGUAAACCGCGUUCGCCUGUGACGAAGCGUGAGUGACGGUAAUGGGUAAAGACGCACCGGCUAACUACGUG
rnacentral:rRNA from 1 species